rnacentral:rRNA from 1 species
GAGGAUCGUUACAAAUCCAUCCACGUCUCAUUACCCUGAGACCACGUUGAAAUGUUCCCCAGUCAUCGUCCUUGACAGUGACUGGGCUGUUAAACUAGUGUUCUUUGUUGCUCAAUUGUAUCACGUCUUCAAUGAAGAUUGAAAACAUGUACAACUUAUAACAAUGGAUCUCUAGGCUCUUGCAUCGAUGAAGAACGCAGCCAAACGCGAAAUGUGUUAUGACUUGCAAUCUUCGCGAAUCAUUUAAUCUUUGAACGCAACUUGCACCCUUGGGCUUGACCCUUGGGUAUACUUGUUUGAGUAUCGUCUAUGCUCUCACCCAAUCCUGGGUGGACUUGAGGCCUAGAAUGAGCGAUCGUUCUUGCUUCUAAAUGCAUGCUCCUGCUCCAAUAUGUCAGGUCUCGCCCGGAUGCAAGUCUGGGAGCCAACUUGGGAUAACGUCCAUCAAGUUUGGUUAUCUGACAGAGUGAUUGGACUUGGCUGUCCCUUAACGGAGGCAGCGCAGGAACAGAGGAACGUGCACCGGGCUGCUGCUUGCGGCCUUGGUGGACACCAUGACUUGACGUACCGAUCUCAAAUCAAGUAAGGCUACCCGCUGAACUUAAGCAUAUCAAUAAGCGGAGGAA